AUUGAACGCUGGCGGCAGGCCUAACACAUGCAAGUCGAAUGGUAACAGGAAACAGCUUGCUGUUUCGCUGACGAGUGGCGGGCGGGUGAGUAAUGUCUGGGAAACUGCCUGAUGGAGGGGGAUAACUACUGGAAACGGUAGCUAAUACCGCACAACGUCGCAAGACCAAAGAGGGGGAGCUUUUGGCCUCUUGCCUUCAGAUGUGCCCAGAUGGGAUUAGCUAGUAGGUGGGGUAACGGCUCACCUAGGCGACGAUCCCUAGCUGGUCUGAGAGGAUGACCAGCCACACUGGAACUGAGACACGGUCCAGACUCCUACGGGAGGCAGCAGUGGGGAAUAUUGCACAAUGGGCGCAAGCCUGAUGCAGCCAUGCCGCGUGUAUGAAGAAGGCCUUCGGGUUGUAAAGUACUUUAAGCGGGGAGGAAGGGAAUAAAGUUAAUACCUUUCCUCAUUGACGUUACCCGCAGAAGAAGCACCGGCUAACUCCGUG
rnacentral:rRNA from 1 species